AGCAAAACAUAGACAUGUAGCGAGAAAGUCGAAGUAAAUUGAAUAUUAAAGUAAUUAGCCGAUCAGGAGAUCGGAUCACGUGACUUUGUGGGGAUCCCCCUUUCAACUUUAACGGAUGUAUACAUGACGGUUCGGGCAGCCGAACGCGGACAGGCGAAAAGACAAAUAAAAACCAAUCAAACAAAGCGCACGCACCUUUUCGUUAGAUUCCGGCACCAGGCAUUCGACAUCCUUGUGCCUUCGGAGAAAUUCGUCAAACUCAGCAUUGGUGA